CAAUAGCGUAUAUUUAAGUUGUUGCAGUUAAAAAGCUCGUAGUUGGAUUUCGGUUAAGAGCGACCGGUCCGCCGUUUGGUGUGCACUGGUUGGUUUUAACUUCCUGUAGAGGACGUGCUCUGGGUUUAACGACCUGGACUCGGAGUCUACGUGGUUACUUUGAAAAAAUUAGAGUGUUCAAAGCGGGCUUACGCUUGAAUAUUUCAGCAUGGAAUAACACUAUAGGACUCCUGUCCUAUUUCGUUGGUCUCGGGACGGGAGCAAUGAUUAAGAGGAACAGUUGGGGGCAUUCGUAUUUCAUUGUCAGAGGUGAAAUUCUUGGAUUUAUGAAAGACGAACUUCUGCGAAAGCAUUUGCCAAGGAUGUUUNCAUUAA
rnacentral:rRNA from 1 species